UACGGGGGGGGGCAAGCGUUGUUCGGAAUUACUGGGCGUAAAGGGCGCGUAGGCGGCCAACUAAGUCGGAUGUGAAAUCCCCAGGCUCAACUUGGGAACUGCAUCCGAUACUGGAUGGCUUGAAUCCGGGAGAGGGAUGCAGAAUUCCAGGUGUAGCGGUGAAAUGCGUAGAUAUCUGGAGGAAUACCGGUGGCGAAGGCGGCAUCCUGGACCGGCAUUGACGCUGAGUGAGCGAAAGCUAGGGGAGCAAACGGG
rnacentral:rRNA from 1 species